rnacentral:rRNA from 1 species
AUUGAACGCUGGCGGCAUGCCUAACACAUGCAAGUCGAACGGUAACGACGGGAGCUUGCUCCCGGGCGACGAGUGGCGGACGGGUGAGUAAUACUUAGGAAUCUGCCCAGUAGUGGGGGACAACUCGAGGAAACUCGAGCUAAUACCGCAUACGCCCUACGGGGGAAAGUGGAGGAUCUUCGGACUUCACGCUAUUGGAUGAGCCUAAGUCGGAUUAGCUUGUAGGUAGGGUAACGGCCUACCUAGGCAACGAUCCGUAGCUGGUCUGAGAGGACGAUCAGCCACACUGGAACUGAGACACGGUCCAGACUCCUACGGGAGGCAGCAGUGGGGAAUAUUGGACAAUGGGCGCAAGCCUGAUCCAGCAAUGCCGCGUGUGUGAAGAAGGCCUGCGGGUUGUAAAGCACUUUCAGUAGAGAAGAAAAGCUUACGGUUAAUACCUGUGAGUCUUGACGUAACCUACAGAAGAAGCACCGGCUAACUCCGUG